AGUAAAUUUGAUUUAUUUUUUUAUUUAUUUUAAAUAAAAAAACUAAAAAAAAACUGAAAAAAGCCGUGGGACAAUUCAUCCAUGCUGCCCUUUUUCUUCUCAAUUCUUCUGCCAAACAUCACCGCAUCGUCAAUCUUCAAUCCCUAAUCGCUGGCGUUCUAUCGAUCUCCCAAAGGUAAGUCCUUUCCGGCUAAAUUUCUCAUUCGUUUUUCAAUCAACCGCCGAUUUCCGAUCCCCUUUGUUGUAUAUCUUGCAAUUUCGAUCAUUCAGCCUUUGUAUUGUUGUUUUUGGUGUUGGAUCGAUUUUUGUACCGUAGCGAGAGAUUGAUCUCGGAACUUUCUCUAAUUUCCCUAUUUAUUGUCAUUUUAGAGCAGCGAUCACAAAUGGAAUUGUUGUUAAGCUAAACGGUUUUGAAUUUCGGGUAUAAUUUGACUUCCAAUUGUUUUCCGAUUAUUCAUCCGCCGAUAUGGAUGUUCUUUGUUGCAUAACUCGCUAUUCAAUCGUUCACGGUAAUUUCUACCUCAUUAAUUAUAAUUCACUAUUGUUGCUUUUGGUGUUGUAUGGAUUUGAGUCCUUAGCAAGAGAUUGAUCUCCGGACGUUCUCUAAUUUUGCCAUUUACUGUUGUUUUAGAGCAGAUCGCAAAAGGAAUUGUUGCUAAGCCAAAACGGUUUCGGAAUCAGGGUAUAAUUGAGUUUCAUGGCCCCAAUCAAUUUAUGGUUUGUUUUCCUUUGUGUGCACCGAUCCUUGUGCUCUAAAAAUCUCACGAAAACAGAUCGAGGCGAUUGAGAGGAGAUGAUUUGGAUGAAGAAGGGAUGGUGAAUAAAAAACUAAAGAAGGUAGUCAAAAAGUAGAGCAAUUGAUCAAAAUUCAUGCAUGAAAAACUGAAAUAGUUGGAAGAGGUUGAAAAAAAGGUGAAACCCCCUUUAAAGGGUAAUAAUUUUGGCGUAGAGAACAAUGUUUCUCUUUGUAUGUUAUUAUAGAUAUAUGAAUGUUUGGACAGGUGUCCUCAAUAUUUUAAAAUGAUUUAGGUACUGGAGUUUCACUAAUCUAAUUGAGUUCAAUGAUAUGUGCGUGUGUGUGUUUAAACAUCUUUACUUUUAUUUGUUGGGUGCAAGACAUGAAUUGAAAAGUUUUGCCACUUCAUACUCCAAUAUUCCUAUUCGAGAAUGAGAAAUAAACUAAAAUAUCAUACUAAAGUAAUUCUUAAAAAAUAAAAGCAGUAAAUAAAUAUGAUUAGAGACCUACAUGGAAAAAUUUCUAAGUUGAGUUUUGAUUAUUGACAUGGUAAGAAAUUCAUUCCAAUCUUUAAUUGAUUCAACUGAAAAAUGAAUGAACAAUUUGAGUGUCUUCGAUUUUAAAUUAUUCAACCUCGUCUAGUAUAGUGUGGUGUUUUUUCCUAUGGUAAUCUUGAAUAGGACUUGAAAAGAGAACAACAAAAAUGACAAAGCAAAACAACCAAAUAAACCGGAAAAAAAAUGCAACACCCUCGUGGUGGUCUUGAAAUAUUUGAACAAAUUGCUUGGAGAAUAUUUUUAGUCUCAAAAUUAUUUGUCAAUCCAAUCAAGGGAGACUCCACAAUUUUAAAAAAAGGAAGCCCACUAUUUAUCAAUUUAACUUGUAAAAGCAGAGAGAUGA
rnacentral:lncRNA from 1 species